AAUGUAAGAUAAACUUACACAGACGGAGUUAUGUUAGAAUUGAACCCCAAAAAAAAAAGAAAAAAAGAAAAGAAAAAGGUUAGAAGUAGUUCCAAGCUCUUUAAAGAUUUCAAAUGCUAUAUGAUGUCUGCUUCUUUGGCUGAAUUGUUGUUGUUCUUAUGUAUUUGGCACAUAGAUUGUAUGCUUAUUGCCUACUGAUUUGUUAAUUUUGAUAAUGCUGAGUUGUCGCAUUCUGUGGUCAUUUCAGGAAGUGUGGUAGAAUGCAACAAUUGAGCAUUAUCAAAUUUAUGAUCUGACAAAUGGUUUUAGCAGUAGUUGUACUUAUCAUGCUUGGCAACCAGGAAAAGGAAACAUUGGUGUUCGAAUUUUGCAGCUACAUGUCAAGAUGCAAGCAAAGGCUAUGCAGGUGUGUUCCUGUUAAUUGCAAUUUCAUUACAUUCAAUGUCCAGAUAUUCUUAAUUCCAACAAUUGAUUUCAUGUAAUUGAAAUUUUGUUACAUUCAAUGUGCAUGUAUUCUCAUUUGCUAAUUUACUUAUCAAUCGCCAUUUUCCAUUGAUUAAUGCUCAUCAUCUGCAAACCCCAUUGCCCCUGUAUCUUAAAGUUUUUCUCUUUCUUCUUUCCCCCUCAUUUGGGUGCAUAUAAAUUUGGCUAAUUGUCAUUUUUAUUUACUUACGCUACUUUAGUUUACAUUCUAGCCCAUUCAGUCAAUUGCUUUCCCAAAAUAAUUGUAUUUUAAGUAAAAAUUAUUGGGUUGGUUAGAAUUUCAAUUUGGGUUUUGAUUUUUAUGCAUUCAAACUUUCAGUCCACAGUUGAGAGACAAGGAAAAGUUUAGGGUUUUUGUUUGGCCAUAAUUGACGAAGUAAAGGCACGCAAUCAAAGAUAUGGUGGUGCGCGAAUCACCUAGAAACUAAUAACAGCUUUGAUCUUCCACAGGACUACUCUCUGUUGCUUCUGAAAGAUCUCCAUCUCGAUGUGAAUAGGGUUUAUUCAAUCUGUGUGGAUUACCCAGGUGUUGAAUUUGAUAGAUAAUGUGACUUUUGAGAUGGCAGAGUUUUUGAAAUUGUGUUUUUGGCAUGUCUGAACCUGAAUGAUGCAGCCUUUGAUCUUUCAAAUGGAAGGGUUGUCGAUGAGAUAUUCAGGUGUCGUUAUCAUUCUUAGCCUUCUUUAUUUCAAAACUACCUUAACCUCAAGCUCACCUGCAAGUUCCUGCUCACCAGGAAAUAGCUUUGUCCAGCAAGGAAAUACCUCUUCGCAACCAACUCAAUCCAACAAAACUUUUACUGCUCUUAAAAACAUUAUCUGCUCAAUGAAUAUCCAGCUACUUCAGUCCUUUGCUGAAGUCUACAAUUGAGUAGAACCAAUGUCGAGUAUCAAUGGUGAAGAAGAUCUCGAUGAAUGAAAGGAGAUUAGAGUCUCGAUUCUUAUUCCUUGAAGGCGGUGCUCAACCUACGAUAAGGGUUUAAUGAAGAUUCUCGAAUGAGGUUGGUUGAGACCAAAAAAAUGGCCUCUUGAAUUUUGAAUUGUGAUUGGAAAUUGGAGUAUAGCAGGUGGACUUAAAAGACAUCAAGUAUGCAGGGGAAUGGUAGGAUUAUCAUUUUAGAGGUACCAGACUAGCUUACCAUGGAGCUUAUAAUAGUCUAAUUGAUGCUGAAAUCUUAUUUGGCCAAUUUGCUGGAACUACAGUGUUUUUACCGAGAAUCUCUUUAAAGACCACAGAAAGCACUGGACUCCCAUGUGAACUGGUGCGAAAACAGUUUCCUGUGAAAUUGAGUUUUGCACUAACCAUGUUGUGUACGAAGAUAUUUUGCUUCCAUCAAAUAUACGAUAAGGCUACAUUCAUUAUGAUGUUUAAUUCACUUUUCAAAUCUAUGUAGAUAUACAUCUAAAUUGUAUAAGUCGCGCAUAGAACGCUGUAAGUAUAAAAGAGCCUUCCGCAUGCGCAUGAGCGAGUGCAUGGAGGCUAGUUUGUAUAGUAUGAACAAACAAGUACUAUUUCGUUGGAAUACUAUCAAUUUGGACAACAUAUCAAAUAAAAAGUGCACACCAUCAAGGGUCUAGUUUGACAACGUACUUGACAAUAUAACGUGUCAGACCAUCUAAAUAAAGAUGAUUUCCCUACAAAUCU